rnacentral:lncRNA from 1 species
CCAGUCCGUUCCCGCGAAGGGCCGCGUCUGAGCCGCUGGGAGCCGAGGACCACGGAGACGCGGCGGGACCGAGCACCCGCCCACACCGAGGGCCGGGAGCGCACGGACCGCGGCGCCCAAGCGGUUAAUAAGGAACUUAGUGACGUGGGCCGCGAGCCGCCAGCACGGUGUUCUGCAGGCCCAGCUGGGGAUGCCACGGGAAUGGGACCUGAUGACAGUCCCUAUCAAGUCUAGCUCUGUAGGUCAGGCUGGCCUUGAACUCAGAACUCAUGCCAUUGUCCUGCCUCUGCCUCCUGAGCACUGGGAUGACAGGGUGCACCACUCUGCCUGGGAUCAAACUCGGGUCCUUGCGCUUUUGAGGCAGGCAGCAGAACCACUGAGCUAAAUCCCCAGCCUUCUCCGAUUUAUUGAAAUAGAUCGAACUCGGGGACCCUGCACUUGCAAGGCAGGCUGUGGAACUACUGAGCUAACUCCCCAGCCCAAAAGGAUGACUUCUAACAAAAUGACUGGGUUAGAGGCUUUGAGAUGUUGGCCAUCACCUAAGAGAACAGGUAAGAUUGAAGUUGAUAGAGACUGAAGGUAAACUUAGCCCAAGAGCUGCUCCUUCUACCUCCUUGCUGCUCAGAGGUGGCUGGGGGCACAUGGACUCUGAGUCCCUAGUCUCUUCCCCUCCAAUUCAGGGUCAGAUAAGACCAACAACCACUGGUGCACACCUAUUAUCCCACCACUCAGGGAGGCUGAAUCAGGAGGAUUGCAAGUUGGACCCCAGUAUGGGCAACUUAGAGAGACCUUGUCUCAAAAUUUUAAAAGAGGCUGGGGACAGAACUCAGUGUAAAGGCCCUGGGUUCCAUACCAGCAAGGAAAAACGAAAACCAAAACAACACAAAAGUAAAUGCAGAGGCCGAGGACUUAGCUCAGUGGUUUUGUCACCUGCUGCGCAAGUGCAGGGACCCAAGUUUGAUCCCUGAUACAAAAAAAAAAGUAAAUGCAGGGGCCGGGGAUUUAGCUCAGUGGUACCAGUGCCUGCCUGGUACAAGGUCCUGAGUUUGAUCGCUUGUACAGAAAAAAAAAAAAGUAGGCAUUGCUGAUUGCAGGAGAAUUGUAAAAAUCAAGAUGGAGAAGGGGCCAGGGAUUUAGCUCAGAGGUUUUGCCGCCUGCUGUGCAAGCUCAAGGACCCGAGUCCC